rnacentral:rRNA from 1 species
UACGUAGGGGGCUAGCGUUGUCCGGAAUCAUUGGGCGUAAAGCGCGUGUAGGCGGUCCGGUAAGUCCGCUGUGAAAGUCGGGGGCUCAACCCUCGGAUGCCGGUGGAUACUGUCGGGCUUGAGUAUGGAAGAGGCGAGUGGAAUUCCUGGUGUAGCGGUGAAAUGCGCGGAUAUCAGGAGGAACACCAAUUGCGAAGGCAGCUCGCUGGGACGUUACUGACGCUGAGACGCGAAAGCGUGGGGAGCAAACAGG